GAUGAACGCUGGCGGCGUGCCUAAUACAUGCAAGUCGAGCGAAUGGAUUAAGAGCUUGCUCUUAUGAAGUUAGCGGCGGACGGGUGGGUAACACGUGGGUAACCUGCCCAUAAGACUGGGAUAACUCCGGGAAACCGGGGCUAAUACCGGAUAACAUUUUGAACCGCAUGGUUCGAAAUUGAAAGGCGGCUUCGGCUGUCACUUAUGGAUGGACCCGCGUCGCAUUAGCUAGUUGGUGAGGUAACGGCUCACCAAGGCAACGAUGCGUAGCCGAACUGAGAGGGUGAUCGGCCACGCUGGGACUGAGACACGGACCAGACUCCUACGGGAGGCAGCAGUAGGGAAUCUUCCGCAAUGGACGAAAGUCUGACGGAGCAACGCCGCGUGAGUGAUGAAGGCUUUCGGGUCGUAAAACUCUGUUGUUAGGGAAGAACAAGUGCUAGUUGAAUAAGCUGGCACCUUGACGGUACCUGACCAGAAAGCCACGGCUAACUACGUGCCAGCCGCCGCUGUAA
rnacentral:rRNA from 1 species